rnacentral:rRNA from 1 species
UACGUAGGGCGCAAGCGUUGUCCGGAAUUAUUGGGCGUAAAGAGCUCGUAGGCGGCCUGUUGCGUCCGCUGUGAAAUCCCGGGGCUCAACCCCGGGCCUGCAGUGGAUACGGGCUGGCUAGAGGCAGGCAGGGGAGAACGGAAUUCCUGGUGUAGCGGUGAAAUGCGCAGAUAUCAGGAGGAACACCGAUGGCGAAGGCAGUUCUCUGGGCCUGUACUGACGCUGAGGAGCGAAAGCGUGGGGAGCGAACAGG